rnacentral:miRNA from 1 species
UGUGCCCUGGGAUAGAUAAGUGA